rnacentral:rRNA from 1 species
AGGAUGAACGCUAGCGGCAGGCUUAACACAUGCAAGUCGAGGGGCAACGCGAGUAGCAAUACUUGGCGGCGACCGGCGCAAGGGUGCGUAACGCGUGAGCAACAUGCCCGUAUCAGGGGAUAAUCCAGGGAAACUUGGUCUAAUACCCCAUAGUAAGUUUUGUAAGGCAUCUUAUAAGAUUUAAAGCUUUGGUGGAUACGGAUUGGCUCGCGUGACAUUAGCUGGAUGGUAAGGUAACGGCUUACCAUGGCUAUGAUGUCUAGGGGUUCUGAGAGGAAGGUCCCCCACACUGGAACUGAGACACGGUCCAGACUCCUACGGGAGGCAGCAGUGAGGAAUAUUGGACAAUGGAUGGAAAUCUGAUCCAGCCAUGCCGCGUGAAGGAAGAAGGUCCUAUGGAUUGUAAACUUCUUUUGUAUGGGAGCAAUAAGGCCUACGAGUAGGUUGAUGAGAGUACCAUACGAAUAAGCACCGGCUAACUCCGUGCCAGCAGCCGC